AUACGGAGGGUGCAAGCGUUACUCGGAAUCACUGGGCGUAAAGGACGCGUAGGCGGGUUGGAAAGUCUGAUGUGAAAUCCUACAGCUUAACUGUAGAACUGCAUUGGAAACUUCCAACCUAGAGUAUGGGCGGGGGAGAUGGAAUUAGUGGUGUCGGGGUAAAAUCCGUAGAUAUCACUAGGAAUACCUAAAGCUAAGGCGAUCUCCUGGAACAUUACUGACGCUAAGGCGUGAAAGCGUGGGGAGCAAACGGGAUUAGAAACCCUAGUAGUCC
rnacentral:rRNA from 1 species